AUUGAACGCUGGCGGCAGGCCUAACACAUGCAAGUCGAGCGAGUGGCGGACGGGUGAGUAAUGUAUGGGGACUGCCCGAUAGAGGGGGAUAACUACUGGAAACGGUAGCUAAUACCGCAUACUAUCGGAUAACCCAUAUGGGAUUAGCUAGUAGGUGAGGUAAUGGCUCACCUAGGCGACGAUCCCUAGCUGGUCGGAGAGGAUGAUCAGCCACCCGUGGACUGUGACACGGCCCAGACUCCUACGGAGUCAGCAGUGGGGAAUAUUGCACAAUGGGCGCAAGCCUGAUGCAGCCAUGCCGCGUGUGUGAAGAAGGCCUUCGGGUUGUAAAGCACUUUCAGCGAGGAGGCGUUACUCGCAGAAGAAGCACCGGCUAACUCCGUGCCAGCAGCCGCGGUAAUUC
rnacentral:rRNA from 1 species